rnacentral:tRNA from 1 species
UGGUCUAUGGUGUAACGGUAGCACAACUGGUUUUGGUCCAGUUAGUUGAGGUUCGAAUCCUUGUAGACCAA